rnacentral:lncRNA from 1 species
GACGCAGCAAUAGGGUGGACAUGUCAGGUUAUUAAUUACCCUGUCUCCUUUGUUCGGUGUACUCUCUUGGCAAAACUGCUGAUUCUCUAAAAGCAACAAAAAAGUAGUGAGUUCCUGGAUUAGAUACUCUGUGGGGUGCUAGGGAUGUGAAAACAUGUCUCCUUUUCUUGUUUUCCCUUUCACAUGAACUACCUUGACUGCUAAUUUUAUCUUCUCAGAUUAUAUCAUUUUCAUACGAUAUCUCAAAUCUUUGGUAGAUUGGAAUAAUGCAUUAAUAAAUUAAUAAUUAAUAAAAGAAAAUAAAAUAAUUAAUGGUACAAGGCACAAUACCUCCUCAAAAGGAAUGUAUAUCCCAACAAGAGGACACGACAAUAUUUUUAAAGACGAUUUCACAACAUCAGGGACGUUCUGAAAGCCCUGAAUGAGUGAUGGAGAUGGUACAGCUGCAGGAGAGAUGGGAGAGAUCGCUAGAAGACAUGAAGUGGGAAAAGGCUUCGGAGAGCAGGUAGUGCUCCUGCAAGGUCUUGAAGCCAAUGAAGAUUGAAGAGAGCCUUUCAUCCCAGAGAGGGAGGUGAACAAAGAUUCAAGCGCAGAGACGGGUCAAGGGUAUUCAGGAGGAAGUAAGGCAGCCUGGAGUUGAGAGAAAGGACACUGAAGUACAAGACAGAAAAAUGACUUUUCAGAGGCUGAAAAUGUACCAAAAUGUACAGGCUACUGGCUCUUGUCCACCACCACUUCCGCAUUUGCACAAUCUGAGAAUCCUGUACAAUCUGUGAGGCUCAGGAACAAGCCACUUGGAUGGGGGUCAGCAGGCCUGGGUGUCCUUACCAGCUCUGCAAGUCACAAACAUCUCCGAGCUUCAUUGUUUUUUCCAGAAGAGCAGUUCUCCACAUCCAUAUUGCAACACAUUGGAAUGUUUAACAAGUCAUUUGUUACUAUUAUGAAAUUAUUAAAGUAGGUGAA